ensembl:lncRNA
UUUUAAUAGGUGUUUAAAGAGAAAGUGUAUUUCUUUAAAUAUGUUGAAUGUUAUCUUUAAAAUAACUACCUCAUGUAGCUAAUUGUUUCAAUAAUUAAAAUGUGUGCAAAACUGCAAGUCUCUGACAUUUAAACACAGAUCACAUUUCCUACUUUGACUCUUCAGAAACAACUGUGUUCAGGUAAAAGGUCUUGUGGGCUGUGCUCAUAUUCAGUUGUAUUGCAGUGAGCUACUCGAAACUAUCUAUUUGAUGAGGUGUAUUUAGGCUUCAAACUGCAUUUCCAAUCCUCCACAUCUAACAGCAGCUUUUAAUCUGCUAUUAUAAGAUUUAAAAGUUGCAUAUGACGUCUGAAAACUCCCCGUUGCGUACAGAAGCUCACUGAAGGCCUCUGUAUUCACACGGAAUUAGACCAUAUUUCCUACUUCCGCAUUAAAUUCAGAGUAACUGAUAUAACUCUGUGAAAGUGAAUUGAUGUGACCUGUGCUCAUAUAGAGUUGAGCUGUCCUGCAGUGAGCAUCUGUAUAUGAUGAGGAGUUUUCAGUCUUCAUAUUUCCAACUCCUGUAUCUUCUAAUAGCAGCUUUAUUAGAAUGUAAAGGUAAGUGUAUUUUAUGUGAAGUAAAAUUCCUUUAACCACCACACAAACAAGAGGUAUGAAUAUUAUCAAUGUACUGUGGGUGUGUAAAUGAGGCACGGCUGUGACAUAAACAUGAUCGAUGUCAUUCAUGUUACAUAAUUCUUACUUGUUUGAAAAUUUCUGUUGACCUCAAUUCUUAGUUGUUGUGCUAACAAAUGAGUUGUGUUCUACAUUUUAAAGCAAGAAAGCAUGUCAUUAAGAACAGUAUUUGUUUUAUCUUUUUUUUUUUUUUUUUUUGCGAUUAACCCAGACAGAUUAACCCAGACAGUACAUUUAUAUAAAAUUGAUAUAAAAGUCAGUUUAUGGAUUUAAUAUUGUUAUACACUUGCAACCAAGUGGAUCAUUUGAGAAUUUUAUUACCCUGUGGUGGUUUCCUGUCUUUCCAUGUCUCAGUUCUCUCAGGAUGUCUCAUUUCUCUUUUUAAUUCCUUUUUAGCUCAAACGGAGAGACACCGCAAGCUGAGUGUUGAUCAGUUGAACAUAAACUGUGUUCAGGGUGACAGCAUGACUAUUUCUUGCCUGACCACAAUCCACCCGCUGGAGUCUCUGACAGUCAAACUACACAAGAAAAACCAAGACACAGACAUCCUGAUAAAUCCAGACAUCUCUCCAGCAUCAGAGCACCAGAGAUGGUCUGUGAGGAAAGAUGCUGGAAAUGUUACACUUCAUCUGAAAGACAUCAGAUCGUCUGAUGAUGGCUUUUAUGACUGUCAGGUCUACAAGGAUCAGGACUGCCUUAAUUCAACUCAAUUUAACCUGAGUAUUAUAAAGUGUAAAAUGUUGAACGCUGUUCAUGCAACGCUUAACUCUUCAGUGUUACUGCCAUGCUCUGAACAUCCUCUACAAAACAUAACUGAUCGAGUUACUUGGAAAAUCGUUAAGGAUCACCAAUCAACAGAAAUAACCCAAUAUCGUCUAUACAACCCAUUAAACACUAAACACUCAAAGCCUUUGUAUGAGAGAGCGAGACAACUAGUGAACGGAUCUCUGCUUAUAAGGAAUGCAGUCCGCACUGAUGAAUCGUGGUAUCGGUGCAGAGUGAAUGAAAAAACCUGCUAUGAGAUGAAGCUGGUUAUGAAAGGUGUGUUUUCAAUGCAAUAUUUUGAAAUCUAAUCUAAUCUAAUUAAGCAAUAUCACAUGAGGAGAAAGAGUGGUGUUCUUCCAAAUAUAAUGCAAUUCAAGCGCUGAUAAUCAGCCACAAUAAUAUUUAUACCUUUAUAGUCCUAUACUAACAAAAAUAGUUCUAAAAGUCAAAGUAGGAAAAACUAUUGCUUCUAUGAGGUACACAGUCAUGGUGUUUAAAUGAAUCAGUUGAUUAAAUGAUUCAAUGAGUCAGGUUUUGCCGCUUACUGGCAUAAUUAUGUAACCUGUAUAAAUCCCCUUUACAAGUGCACAGACAGUCUACCUAUAAUAGUUUAAUAGUUUUAAACUAUUAUAGUUUAACAUUUUUAUUACAGUCUAAAUAUAUUCUGAAGAGAUUAAUAACACCAAACACUUCAGCAUACAUCACUAUAUGCUUCAGAUUAAGUCUUUGAAAGGCCAAAUAUAAUUACACUUAGGCUGCUGGCUUUAUAAAAAGAAUGCUGAGUUUAACCAUACUUUUUAGAUACAUUUAUUAAUAUUUUUGAAUUUUAAUUAUAGAUUAUGAGACACCUUGUACGAAAACACUUUCCACAACAUUGUUAGCCACAGGUAAGACCAGCACCUGAAUAUGUGUGUGUGUGUGUGU